GAAUCUGGGACAGUUACAGAUAAAUGCUGCUUCUUGCUAGGAAGCUAAAGGGGUGGAAUCGGUUUUGGUGCAGGCAAAGUAUGUGCUGGGAUUUGAUGCUAAGUAAGGGGAUAUUCAAAGGCCAGGACAAGCAAGAACAAAAUUGGAGGACACCAAGGACUGAGAAACUAUAUUUAUACUUGUUUUGUAGUGAGAUUCCACUCCCCUGGCCGGGCUCUGAAUCCUGUGUUUCAUGGCCCAGUGUCUCAUCCAGUCCUGCCUUCAUUUGACAGGGUUGCCAGAGGCCGGCAGCAAGAGGUACCUGAUACACACAAAGGCAGGUUCUCUUGUAAAUCCUAUUCUGUUAUUGGGCUUAAUUUCAGGGACAAAAAUUGUAUUGUUCAGGUUCAAAAAAUGCCUGAAAAAGUGCUAACUAUUUAGCAGCCAUGUGGAUCUUGAACAAGUCAAUGCAGUUCUCUGUACUUAGAGCUGUUGCCAAAACACUGUGGGUGGGGUAUGCAAAAUUGGCUGGGCUUUAUUCUUCUUCACAAGAAGCAAAAGGUUUUUUUCCAUCUCAAAGCAAUUCACACAUUUGAGUAACAUACAAAUAGUUUUAUUGAUUAAGUACUGUAGAACAGACAGCAUUAGUCAGAAGAUAACAUGCGGACAAAUGUUUGCAUUUAAACAUAGCAUGCAGACUUGUUGCUCUGUGACUAGCAGGCUAGCACCACCUGCUGUCCCAUGUGCAGGCAGGUUUGGGAGGUGAAAGAGCAGGGCCUUUCCCCAGCUGAACAUACUAGCACCACAGUGCUUCCUUUUGAGUCAGGAGUGGAGUGAUUGGGACAGUGCUGGUAGCUUCCUGGGUUCUGGAGGGCUGGCAAAUGAGGAUCUCUGAACACAUUUUGCUAAAAAUUGCACUUGCUUUCUCUUAACCUGAAAGUGAGGGAAUGUUAAGGCAGGAGAUGCUCAUCUGCCUGCAAGCACACCAUGUCAGGAUUCGACAAUCCCUUUCCACCCAGUCUUAACAUUAGCAAGUAGAAAAAAUAUAUUUUCAUCUCUUAAAAAUACAUUCCACACAAUCUGAAGGAUUCUCAAGUGUUUACAAAUGGCAGGAAGACCGGCGUGCCUUCCCCCUUGUGCAGACGUGGAAGGAGUAGACUGUACUCCCAACAGCCACAGAAAGGUUGAGCAAAUCCUUUGGUCUCUAGCCAAGAGGAAAGAGAAAGGGGAGGAAGGAUGUGGGCCCUGCACUGCAGUACCUUCACCACUUUAUCCCUCUUUGGAUAUAAUGUUGGGGUUUCAACUGAAGCAGCAAGAUCUUUUGUGGGGUUGUCUUCCACUGAUGCCCUGGGUAGAGGGGUGGCAUCAUGUAAGCCUCUCUCAUCUCAUAUACACAUUUUGAGAAGGGGAAAUGUCAGUUCCAAAGAGCCUGUGAGACAAUAAUAAAUGUCCUGGCUGCUUGCAUACGUAAGGGUCCCUUCUGACAAAUCUAUGGCUAAAACUCUACGUUCUUGGCACUCUUGACAUCUUGUCGUAAAACCAGAGAUGCACUAAUGGCCUGAGGAAGUAUGGCGUUACCUUACACUGGGCUGGCCUACCCAAGUAUUGUCAAUGGACUGGCUCUCUCUUUCAAGGCCUUGUGAAUCCAGGACUGUCUGCAUGCAAAUCAUCUGCUCUACCACUGAGCUAUGGUCUCUCUCUGGCUUUUCAUCGGAGAAGCGGUUCUGCUUUUUGCAAUGAAGGGAGGUGAAGGAGCAGAUCUUACUAGGCUAUGCAACAUUGUGCGGGCUGUACACAAGGGCAAUUCUGACCUCCAGUUGGAAGAAGUUGCUUUUUUUUGUUUCUCGACAUAAAAAGGAAUAAUCACAUGCAGCACAUAUAAUUACAACACUGGAAUUGUUUUUUUGUUUUGUUUUUUUUACACACAAAUUUUCAGCAUUAGAAAGUCCCUGGGGGAUUCCUACUGUAUUUAUAUGCUACAGUUAAAACAAAAAUUAACUUGCCAAAAUGCUGGCAAAUAUUUACAAAUACACUUUACAGCUGUUUAUUUUUAAAGUGUGCAACUUGAGCCAAACAGUCUCUUGUUUCCUGAACUCACCACUGCUAGUUCAAUAAUACAAUCAGCUCCUAUUGCACUCAGGGUUAAGGUCUCCUUAGGGUUUUGUCAUCCUUUUUUAUGGGGCCAUCAAUAAAAUAACCCCCAACCGAUACUGUAACGGAUAUUUACAUUCAUUCCUUAUGUUUAGUGAAAUGUAAGACUAUCAACAGACCCCAGGCCUGAAAAAAAUAAAGGGGGGGGGGUUCCUCUGCCCUGAAGCAAUAAACUAGCUAAAAUAACUCAGGGCAAAUUCAUUUCUCUUUUACGGGGAGGUGGGGAAUCCAUAACGUGCCUUCAGAAAGGAGGCAGCAACCUCAUCCAUCAAGCCCUAUUGCCGAAGCUGAGGCAGAUUCCUUGGUUAAGCAAGGCCAGGUGUUACUGUUAUAAAAGCUUCCUAUCUAAUCUGAAGGGGGGGGACUUGUAUUCUUCCUCUUCCCAGCUGCUCAAGUAUGUUCUAGGAAUGUGGAACCUGUGGCCUUCCAGCAAUAGUUGACUUGCAACUCCCAUCAGCCCCACCCAGGAUGGUGGUCAAACUCUAGCUGGAGGGCUCACAUGCUCCCCAUCUAGGGAACAAAGGCCUAAGUCACAGAUAACUGGUUCCUUUAAGUUUUCCCUUUUUGUAAAAAUCUGGACUGCCACUGGGUCAUUUCUUCCCCAGCAAAGAUGAGGAGGACUUUGCUAUGUCCACUUGGCAAGGGAAAGGUAUCAGUGCAGCUUUCAGAGGUGCUAUCAGCCUAGGAACAAGGGACACUUGCCCUCAUCCUUCUGUGUCUGGCUCAAAUGCCAAACCCUUUAUUCUUGGGUGACUUUUACUGGGACCCAGAUACCUAGCUUUCUGACCCUGAGCACUCAGUCCUGGAGAAAGCGUCGUUCAGAACGAUCUUUUGCGCCAGUGCGUGUAGGGUUAAACUUGUGAACGCGUUAGUCAUGCAGAGAAUAGUUUCAAAUUCAAGUGAAUAAUCUCUAGCUCUUAAUGGUAAAUGGAGUGCUCAGAGGGGGUGGAGCAUUUUCCAGAUCCUGUGAGAAGUUUGCAGUGUUGAAUGCGGACAAGCCAGCUUUCCAACAGGGAAAAAAAUUUACCUGGGUUGUCGUUUGCAUGGUGGGGCUUCUUUUGCACCAGAAAAUCAGGCAGGGCGUUCUAAGGGCACUCAAAGUGUCACUGCUUUGAACAGGCACAAUAAAAAUGGCUCCAAUUUCAUCAUGCAGAGGAGGGGCAAUGUCCAUUAAGGCUGCAUUCCUAAGUAUAAUUACAGACAAACAAGUCCAAGAGGAACUUAUUUUCAUAUAAAUAAGUUUCAGUAAGGGGCUAUUUUAUCAAUGAACUAGUGGUCUUGGAGCUGGUGCAUGUCACAGGAAAUUCUAGGCAUUUAUGACCCAGCCAAACAAACGGCUCAGAUAGCAACACCCCCCUCCCCGUUGGUUGGUGGCUUGCUUUAAUUUUCAAGUAGGCUGAGAUCCAACAUCAGUGUUGAAUCGAACUUUUCAGGUGCUAAAGUGCUUUCUUGAAUCAACUACGACAUGGCUUUAAUUUUUUUAUUUUUUUUUUUAGCAAAAACAAUCACCAUCCUACUUUGGAUUAAAUCACAGCCCCCCGUUGAACACUAGACAGGCACCAUCUGAGCAUAACGGGGUGCGUCAAUUCAAAAUGGCUGCUUACAGAUCAGUUAUUGCUGAGACCUUUAUGUAAACAGACUACCCAUCAAUGGAAGCAAGCUAAAAUCUGUGAAUUGGCCCCCGGUGAGAGGCCUGUAAUUGGUGAAUGAAAGUGGGACCACAGAUAUGCUGUGAUUACAUCACAAAGAGACGGAAGCAUGAAACACAAGGUUCUAGACCUCAACACUGAAAAUAUGCGUGAAAGAGCGUGGGCAAUACUUGAGAUGAUCUCACUGUUUGGCUGCUGUGCCUUCCCCAGUCCACUGACCAGCGGGAGAGCACGUGAAAAUGUGAAUGAUGCAUACAAGUUGCAGAAGUUAACUUUUGUUAGCACAGUUCGGGUAAUAAUUAUUUUUAAAAGAUGGUGCACACCCUUCUGCUCACCUCUGUGAGAAAUCGGUACGUAACAAUGGUGCCUUUCAUGGCACUGUUAGCCAAACUCAGGGGCAUGUAAACUUAUUCUUAGAACACUCAUGCUUCAAGGUGAAGCUUGUGAACACUUUUAACCACUUGGUCCGAUAAAUGGCACCAUUGUCCGCAUUCUGUGCCUCUCACAUCUGAAUCAGUUAAAAUACGUUUUUUAAAACCUUUGGCUGAAUUAAAAACUGUUGGGUAAAGGAUAGAGUAGGAACCACAGCAAACCUCAGUUAUUUCUAAAGGUUCACAAUGUGUGUGGUUUUUUUUUUUAAAAAAGGCAAAGUAGUGAAUUCGGGGUGUUUUUUCCUAAGCCAGGUUUUCCAUCUGAAACCCUGGAAGCCUAGCCUGAUGCUCUUGGCUUUUCAACAGAGUCGCAGGCCUCACCUAACUGUGCAUGUGUGAACUCUGGGCAGAAUGAAUGGACUUCAUGCACCAAACCCAUGUGGCGUUGCAUUGCUAAUGCACAUUAAACUCUAUCUAACUU